rnacentral:lncRNA from 1 species
AUCAUUAGAGAGGGACCUUUUAUUUCUCGACAUAUUGGCUCUAAUCGAAGACGACGUACAUUGAAUAAGCGAAGACCGUGGCAGGUUGGUUGGUUACCGAAAACACAGACACACACACGCACGCCGAAUCCAUUCAAACGCCGCUCGCCCAUCUCGCCGGCCGGGCCGCGGUCAAGGAGAGCAAAAGGUGGCAGGAAACGGGAAGGAAAAAACUCGGCAGCAGAAACCGGAAAGGAAAGCGAUCGCGCAAGGCGACACGAAGCCAGCUAGUACUCGCACUCAGUACAGCAGUACGCACAGGCCUCUCCUCUCUGAAUUCUGAAACAAAACAAGAGUCCACACCGCAUUGAAUCGCUGCUUGCCCAUACGCCGCAGAGUCCGUCCGUUCUCCAGAGCGACACACGCCGAAACAAAACUGUGACCACGGCGCGGGCCCACUGCCCAGUUGGAGUACUCCUACUUCCUUUUCUUUUCUUUCUUCUUGCUGGGGCUGUACAACCGUCCGAAAAAGGAAACGGGCGGUACGCCGUGGGCUCUACGCCGGCCGGACGGACCUUGAAUUCCCUAGUGCUACCCGGUAACACACGAGGCGGUGGAUGCAUGAUCUGAAUCAUCUGAUCUAUCCUACUCCAGGCUCCAAAGCUCAAGGGCGGGGUCGCCGGCCAACAGCUCCACCAGCCAUUCCUCCUCCUGGUAGUAGCCGUCGGCGGAGAGCUCGGCCGCGGCCCGCUCGUCGUCGUCCACGCGCGCGGCGGCGGCGGCGGCGGUUUCGGGCCACGGCCAGGGGAUGGGGGUCGGGGGCGGCGGCGCUCCGGCGCGCGUGUCGACGGCGGCCAUGACGGUGGAGGCGGCGGCGGAGAAGGACGGGCCGCAGCUCUCCUCGUUGCCGUUGAUGGUCACGAACCCCUUUUCCUCGUCCUCCUUGUCGCCCGAGGAGUAAAUCUCCUUCUCCAGCCACCGCAUCACCUCCUCCACGGCCUCCUCGUCGAUGCCCGCCUCGCACUCGUCCUCCUCCUCCGCCUGCACCAGCUCCUUCACGACGCCCGCGCCGAAGGCCUCGCCUUCCCGCUUCCGCUUCCGUACGGCGGUGGCGUCAUCCUCCUCCUCCAUCGAACCGACAGAUAGCGAGAGAGAGAAGCUCGGAGAAGGAACCGCCAACGCCAAGUGGAAAGGAGAAAACUCGAACAGAGAGGGGGGAGAGUGGGAAACUGAAGCGGUGGAGGCAGCACGGCAGCGGUCGACCGCCACGUAGGCGUAUAUAUAGCCCACGGCGCGACGUGGCUGCGCGGCAGAGCACCUUGAGGACCGUCGGAUCCGCCUCGGGACCCACACAGCGGCGCGCAUCGGGCGGCCUCGAUCGUUUUUGCCCCGAGGAAGAAGAAAAAUAACAGGCCGCGUUCGCGCAAAACCGGGGCCCCCGCAGCUCGUGGCGCGUAGCGUACCGCGCUUUGGGAAGCCGCGAUUUUUUUUAUUUCAUUUUUUCCUUUUUUUGUUUGGACGCGACGAGAGGAGACGGGCAGGGAAAGUCUUCCUCUCCCCGUGGUGUUGACUGGCCAGCUGGGCCCGUGCUGCGUGGGUGCGAGCCAGCUGGGCUGUUGCCAGAAACGCCUUCCCCUAUCCUCUGCUCGUGACGGAAGCAGCAGCAGGAGCAGCCCAGGGCCCGAGACCGCACAGCCGUGCGAUGGGAGGGUCCGCGAUCGACAACCGUACGAUCGGGAAACGUUUCUCGGCCGCCAAAGUUGGGAGUUUUCGCUCCUUUUGUGGCACUUUGCGUGGGGCGCCAUUGUUUACCCCAAAUGCAGAAGGGGCGCUCUAGAACUCUCCGCCCCCGAUAAUUAAGCCCCAACAUAAAUUUCGUGUACUGCACGGGAAGGAUGUAGAUAUGGAAGUCGGGGCAAUAUGGAACGAACGGGGAAACUUCCCCCAGCACCAGUGGAACGCGCGCGCGUCUUUUGCUUGAAAUGGUGCCGUCUAAAUUAGCAACGUGAGCUGUAGCGCGUUAACCUUAUUUCUUCCGAGGGAGGGUUUAAAGGAGAUUUCCCUUUUUCUUGGUUGACACGGUUUUACUUUUACAGGAGCCGAUGGGAAUGGGAAGUGCGCGCGUUUAUGCGUGAUCCGGACGGAACGGUGCUAACAGGCCCAAAUGAUCACAAAGCAAAGAGUGUUUAAGCCAGUGGGCCUGCUCCAGCUACGGCCUGGAGUCUCUUUUUCGUGUAUACCUGGCCCAAUGGAGUUAUUUGGGCCCAUGGUCCCGAAAAAACCUAGUUUGAACAACAUUCAUGCAAGGAAAAUGUGCAAUCAGUCUUCUCAUGAAGAAACUCUUAACCGUCACUUUCAAAAGUGCGACUCCAUCUCUGACGGGACCGCGGAUCCACCUGUCCUCUUCAGCUCAUGUAGUUUGGUAUUUUACUUUCUUGUUCAAGUCCUAGGCCAAAGCCAAAAGGAUCCUACUCUCCCGCUAUCAGGCUACUGAAAAUGUUUUGCUCCCGCAAGUCUUCAAAUUGUAGCUUCCUCUUUGAUUUUAGCUGCAAUGAUCGUUGGUAGAGUGAAAACAUGUCGAAGAAUUCGUGCGUUUUGCCCGUUCCAAAUCUCCUAACAAACUAACACGACACGCCUCUUUACAAGAUCGUCUUUCAUGGGUUACGUUGGUCCACCAAUCCUUCAUAAAAAUUGCACUACCCCAUUGAUUCGGGUACACGUCGUGAAGGCCGAGCCAAAAUUUAAUCCCAAUCCAGAUUGUGAUUGUGCAGCGGCACUUGAAGGGAAAAUGGGCGCCUAAUCGGCCACCUGCUUACAAGGAGGGCACAAGCCACAAUUUGGCUGACCCCGACGCUCGAGACGAUAUGCGGUCGAUACCCUAUCUUGCAUAAUGGGCCAUUCAAAGAAUCUGUAUUUUGGUGGUGCCUACACUUUCCAAACCGUGGGGUACAUCAUGGUGGUCAUUGCACCAGCAAACUGUGCCUUGUAAGCUGAUUCUGCAGAGUAAACCCAUCAACGAUAAAUUUCCAUCAGUUAGUAUCUCGAAUUCCAUUGGUAAACUGAACAUUGUUCAGCCUUUUCUGAAGAGAGUGAAACUCCUGGACUGGAUGUGCUCCAAAGGUAGUUCUCGCUGGAUUUCAAUCGCAGCUUUGAACUGCUCUCACUAGUCACCAGGACCUGGGCGUCAGAAUCAACUUCAAGACGCUUAAGGAGGUACUCUCUCCGUUCCAUAAUUUUUGUCUUAAAUUUGUCUAAAUGGAUGUAUCUAUUUUUAAAAAGUGUCUAGAUACAUAUAAUAUUUCGAUAAAAAUUAUGGAAUAGAGAGAAUAUAAUUGUUGCAACUGCCUUAAAGAUUGGGCUGCCGACGAGGGAGAAUGCAACUGCAGUCCCGGCCUAAUUGCGGCGGUGUUUAUUCUGUUCAUGCAUCUCACACUCACAGGUAAAUUUCCUUCUCUUCUCGUCCUCUUCCUUUUAUCCUUUCUCACGGGGCAUGCUGGGGAAAGACGGGGCACGCUUCAAUGAUUGUGUUGACCUUUAAACUAAGGACUCACCAAUCCCGGUGAAUUAACACCUUGUCAUCCCGCUUAAACACACACCCCUUUUCACUAAGAAAUGGAUCUUUAGGCCCUGUUCGGUUUGGAGGAUUUACAAAACAUGAGAAUAGAAAAAGUGUAGGAAUAAGAUGCCCAACCCAUCCAAAUUCUUUGGAAAACAAAACCUCAGGAUUUCUGAAUAACUAGCAUUCGGUUGCACCAUUUCCUAACAUAGGAAAGGUACAGGAAUACACUAGCCGUUAGCACACAAUUAAUUGACUCAACUAGCCGUUAGCUUUCAACUAGUACUAGUACGUGUAUAAAUAGCCUCACCGGUUCUCUUCAGUUCUUCCAUUUUCCAGCUGCUCCUCGCACACUAUGCUCUGUUUUAUUCUCUUCAAUCUCAGCUUUGCUCCUGGACAAGCCAACACAACAAGGCAUAGCUGGCUGGAGAAAUAAGGUCAGUACAUAUCCAGCUUCUGCAAAAAAAAACUUAUUUUCUCCCAAGCAAAAGUAAUGAUUUUCUUUACUCUCUUCCAUUCAUUUUUCAGCAUCAUCUGCACAACGUCAUUUCACAACAUGUACUCAAGCUACCAGCGUAGAUCAGCAACUGAUGAUGAGUUCAUUAAUUUUGUUCUCCCUACUUUAGAAGAGUCAUCACCAUCAUCUUCUAGUAGGAGACCAAUGCACACAUCAAAGCUUACAGGUGCUUGUCGUGUUCAUGAGAUCCUUACUGGACAUGAAAACUUAUGCAAAAGGAACUUUCGCAUGGAGGUUUCCAUUUUUCUUGCACUAGUCAAUAAGUUGUGUGAGAAAAAAUAUCUAGCUGAUACAACAUAUGUUUCAGUAGAAAAACAAGUUGUUAUAUUUUUGUAUGCAGUAGCAAAAAAUGCAACCAAUGAAACACUUCAAGAUUGGUUUCAACAUAGCCCAGAUACAAUACAUCGACAUUUCAAAAGAGUUCUUGAAGCAAUCACAAAUCUCACACCUAUCUACAUACGCCCACCUUCUCUACACCCGCAUUCAAUAUUGAGGAAACCAAAAAUUUACCCCUUCUUCAAGGUACGACUACAUCUUGAAUUGUUUUGGUUUAACAUUGGAAUAAAAUAUUUUUAAAUAUCUAACUUUGACUUGUCUUGUGUGCAGAAUUGUAUUGGUGCUGUAGAUGGUACUCAUAUCCCUAUGAAACUUCCAUUGGAUCAACAAAAACCAUACAGAAAUAGGAAGCAAACAAUCUCACAGAAUGCGAUGGUUGCUUGUGAUUUUGAUUUGAAGUUUGUACAUAUAAAUCCUGGUUGGGAGGGAUCAGCUUCAGAUGCAAGAGUUCUACAAGAUGCACUUAACCAUGGUUUUGAAGUUCCUGAUGGCAAAUUUUAUCUAGUAGAUGCUGGUUAUGCAAAUACACCUCAAUUUCUUGCUCCCUAUCGUGAUACUAGGUAUCACUUAAAUGAACAAGGAAGAGCACGUCAAAAGCCACAGAAUCACAAGGAACUAUUCAAUCUCGGACAUGCUCAACUUCGGAAUCAUAUUGAGAGAAUUAUUGGCAUAUGGAAAAUGAGAUUUCCUAUACUGAAAGUUGCUUCGCAUUUCUCAAAAGAAAAACAGAUUGACACAUCCGUGGCUUGUGCAGUUCUACAUAACUUCAUACGCAUACACAAUGGAGAUAUGACUUGGCCUAGUGAUGCUACCAUGGAUAUUGAUCCUGACCAGAUUGUUGAUGUACCAAAUGGAGACCAUAGCUAUCAUGCUGACAUCCAUGCAUUCAACAACUCCAGGCUUGCGGGACAUCAAAUGCGAGAUACCAUAGCACAACAAAUGUGGGAGCAGUAUGUAUCACAUAAAAAUUCAAGAUAAAGAUAGUGAGAAGGCUCCCAAGUUGUAUUACCACUGAUGUAACUUGAAAUAUUAAAGUUCUAAUCCAUAAUAUAUUAGUCUUAAUAUAUUUUUCCUUGUUCCUUACCAUGGCUGCAACAGAUAUAAGCUUGUACAAAAUAUUACCAUUGAUGUUAGUUGGACCUCUCGGCCUACCAAAAUAUACUAACCACCAAAUGGCCAAAAUAUAUGCUAACCACCACAUGACACUAUGAGAUAUGCAGGUUCUACUACUGUCCUCACGGCAUACCAAAAUAUGCUAACCACCAAAUGACCAAACUAUAUGCUAAUCACCACAUGACACCAUGAGAUGCAGGUUCUAGCACUGAUAAUUUGUGUUGCUACGUGUAAUCUCCCUUUUAAUCUAGGCCAACCGUAGUUCAUCACUAGAAAAUGAUAAGAAAACUUCCCUGUGAUCUUUUGCUUGGAAGAUAUCUGACGCCAACAAAAUGUCACUCACUUGUAGACCAUCUAACCCUUCAAGAGUUAUAAUACACUUGUUAAUGCUUUAGGGAUCCUCUGCUUUCUUCUCCUCAAUAGAAGCUUUCUUCUCCUCGAUAGCUGCAAAUCGGUCUAUUUCUUCCCGCUUCAGCUUUAGGUAUCUCUCAUGAAAUCCCUCGGGAGGUUCAGUAGUACUUCUCUUUUGUUUUUUUGCACGUCUGCUGCUAGGCUUAUCAGUACGUGCUUGUGCAGAGCUUGGUGUGGAUUUCAUUUGUUGAAAAGGUGUUGAUGAACGCUAGGCAGCAUCCGCAAUGAAAUCCUCGGUCUCUUCCUCAAUAGAAAAAUGCAUACCAUAUUCUCCAGCACCUUGUAAAGUAGGCGAUGGAGACUGAUAAGCAUCAGGCUGUUCAUCAAUAGAAAUCACCACAUUAUUUGCCCUGCUUGCAUAAUAGUCCAUACCACGACGAGUCCUUCCUUCAGCAUGACGGCCUACAUAUAUGUUCAAUAAAAAUUAGAUUGGCAUCAAGAAAAACAUGACUAAAGCAUGCUGAAAAAACACAAAGCUAUAAGGAUAUUUCGCUAACCGUCGUAGAGUGGAACCAAUUCAGCAUAGUAUGGGAAAGACUUGUCUCGCCAUUGGAGGGCAUCCUUGCUGUUCUUGCGAGCAGCAAAUGUGGCCCAAAUAUCUGUUGGUGCAUCUACCAUCAUUCUCACGCUAUCCCAUCCAAAACCACUUUCAGCUAACAAGUCUUUUACACUUCGAUAAUCUUUUUUUAAAUCCUGCUCCUUUUGCUUGACUUGGUUAACAGUGAAUGACACAACAAACUUGGUAUUCAAUUGAGAAGUAAUACCUGUCCAUGCUUCCAUACUCCAUGCAUUUUGGUUUCGAAAACCAGGCACAUCAUGAUCUUUCAAGAGUUGAAUAAGAAAUAGCUUCAUUUGGUGACUCCAUUUAGCUCUAGGACAAGUCCUUACGGUACCUAAAGCAGGUAGAAACUUGCUCAAUUUCAACUAUAUUAGUCCUUCUAAGGAAGUAGGAGAACACACUAAUCCAAUUUAUUUAAAACUGGAGCAAUACCUAUAUAUUAUGCGCUUCGUCUGCAGUACCAAAUUACUAAUGCAAGAAAUUUAACCCUUCAAGAGUAAUACCUAUUUGUUGAGAAGGUUGAGAAGUCACACGAUCAGCUUCAAAAUCGCUUAGUCCAUGCGAUUGUGAACGAUGGCCUUGUUGCUCAUAGCUCCGGUGAUUACCAUUCUGUAAUAAGACAACAGUAUUAUUGCAACCAAAAUAAUCACCACAACUGAUUGCUAAUAUUCUUCAUCUGCACCUAAGCAUCACACAUUGAUGCUACAGAUUAAUUACUGCUACGUAGGAGCACGUUAGUACACUGGCCAGAUUAAUCUCAUUCAGUCAUUCAGAGAUGACUAGGACACACAGUAGAUGGAGAUUGAUUGGUUCCGGCUUGAGAAAGAUUACUUGGUGUACUGGUUCUACCUUCGGAAUUGUCAUCUGGUUGUAUUUAACAUCUCCUAAUUAUUGUCCAAAGCCAACUAAUCAUCUGGUUGUAUUUAACGAAGAAAAACUCUGCUAUUAAUCUCCUAAGGGGACUGAAACCACAAAAUCGAUGAAUCAGAUCGACUGAUCUCUGAACACCUGACAUACCUGCAAAGAGGAACAAAUGGCCAUGUUGUAGGGACGACCUGGAGCAGUAGGAGAAGAAGAGAUGGCCUCGCCUCGCCGUAGUGACGCAGGCGGAGAAGACGAGAUGGGCGAGGGGAGAAACCAGCAGACGGGAUCUGGUGGCUAUCGUCGGUCGCUGCUCCCCUUCUAGACGAGGCGGAGUGCCUUCCUUUUUUCCCCCUUUUAUUUGCCCUCGCGAAAGAUCCAGCUAUAUUACUUUUGGCGCGAGAGUAGCGCGGGGGGCACUUCGCGCAGUCGUUCCGCGCCAGGAAUUUUUACAGGCUCAGGAAUCGGUUUUUCUAAGGAACUCGGUAUCACCGAUCCUGUGAACCGAAUGUCACGUACAGGAAAAUAUCCUCUGGUUCAAAAUCCCGUAAGAAUCCGACAGAUUUCUUGCAAACCGAAGGAGGCCUUAACCCUUUAUCAGCUUCCUCCUCACUCCAGCAUUGUUCACAAGAGAAAGCUUUACGUGAACACGUUCCACAGUGGUAGCAGUCCAAUCCUUCCUCUCAGCUCCACUGUUCGUCAAAAGCAACCUCGUGAUUCAAUCGGCUGCAACUUUUCUCUGACGAGCAAAAUUCCAGAGUUAAUAUCUACAGCGAGACGAACAUACUGACCGACACAUCUUAGAGAAUCUGAAUAAACUUUCCCUCGUGUUUGCCAACUGAAAACUUUGCGAUAAUAUUUGAAACAAGAAUGUAAUUUGACAAUACUCCAUCAGUAGUUACUAAUACAAGCCACUAACAAUUACAAAUUCAGAUACAUUCGUACUAGUAUACAAAGUUAAGCAUAACAAAUCCCCAAAGAGUCCCAUCCCCAAAUUGUACUUGCACUAACAAAAAAGGAGGUAAAAAAAGAAGAAAUAGGAAACAAUAAACAAAUGACUCAAGCUCUCAAACUGACUUACCACCCUCCCCCAUCACUCCCCCGCCAAAUUUCGUAAAAUUCAAAUCGAAAAGAAUUUACAGCAACCCACGGUUGAUUUGAUUCGGUUUUGGAUUUUCUACUGCGCACCGCAGCGGCAUGAUGAUCAUCGCAAGUGAAAAAGUAAAGCGACCUUUUCUUUGCCCGAUAUAUUUGUUUUCGCAAUGCGGCCCCUAGGAGAUUCGCCCCGUUACUAGAAGGUCCACCUCCAGAUCUUGACUCGGAUCCUGACCUGGCACACGCGCGGCGCCAUGGCGGUCGCCGUCGCCGGGGUACCGGUGGCGGCGUCGUCGGCGCCUGCCGACGGCUCCGGAGCCUCCACGACACCCGCAGCCGCCGCCGGCGCGGGCGCCUUGGAGACGGUGAGCUUGACGACCCCCUUCUUCUUGGCCGCCGGCGCGGGGGCCGUCGCGGGCGCGGCGACCUUGAUGCCGUCGCAGUGCACCUGGAUGCCGAUCUUCUUGGUCCUGAGCCCGCCGACCUUCACCCCGGCCUUGGUCUCCAGGUCGAGCGUGAUGGCGAAGCUUCCGGACUUCUUGAUGUCGGAGCUGGCCGCGGCGGGGUCGACCCCGAGCGCGGACGCGGCCACGGUGGCCUUGAUGACGGUGAUAUUGCCGGCCUCGUGCGCGAACCCGGGCACGGCGGCGUCCCCGAGCGGCACGGCGUUGGCGGCGGUGGCGGCGGAGACGGCGAAGUCGUCGUAGAGGAAGACGAGCUUCUUGUUGGGGUUCCUGGCGGUGAGGGUGAAGUCGAUGGAGUCGGUGAGGGCCGGCGCGGCGGAGGAGUUGGAGAGGGCGAGCUUGUUGACGCGGGCGAGCGAGAGGGUGAAGGCCGGGCGGUGCGGGCGGUAGAGGAGGUAGAAGGCGCCGCCGGCCACGGCGGCUGCGAAGGCGAGGAGGAGCACGACGAGGAUUGUCCAGAAGAAGCAGCAGCAACAGCUGAAGGGGCAGGAGCGCCCGCGCCCGCCGCGGCGGCCCUUGGAGGAGGGCCCCUGUGGGCGGUAGAUGGGCCGCUGGUACAUCUUGGGCGGGCCGCCGGUGGCAGCGCCGUUGCUGGCGGCGGCGGGGGGCUGCGGAUUGGGCUUGCCGUUGGAAGACAUUGCCGCCGGUGGAAGGGGCGAGGUCCUUUGCCCGGCGGAAGCUAGUUGGCUAGCUGGUUGGACUGGACUGGAUUGGAUUCCGUGCGCUUUGCUGAGUACUUGGCCGGGAGCUGGAGAUCUAUAAGCGAAGGGACGACGAGGAGGAAGAAGGAGAAGGUGAGUGAGGUGAGGGAAAAGGGACGGGUCACCUUACGGAUGGUUCGUCCUCACCGAAUCAUUUGCUGCUGCUGCUGCUCGCUCAGCUCAGCUCAGGCAGCUCAGCUGAUGCUUUCCUUUGCCUUUUAUUUUAAGCAAGUCUCCUCCGUAAUUCCCGUCUGCGCCCGAAAAAUUCCUCCGGAAAAUUCAUUUCGGAAUAAUUUAAACUUGUUUUUACCGGGGGUACGACUUAUACGUAAAUCAGCAUAAUCUGUCAAAAUCUUGAGUAUUGUUACUGUUUGCCUGCUCGGCUCAAUAUACUCCACAAGAGUAAUGAUCAGAGAUGGAGUAUUUCACAAACCUCGAAUUUGUAUCGACAGAUUUGACAGUAGAUCAACUUGAGCAGCCUAGCACUAACCCUAACGCUAGUACGUCUAGCUUACUCCGGGUACUGUAGCAGUACUCCGAUCCAGCCGGUACAAUCAAUUGCUACUUUAAUUUGUCCCUCCAAAGCUUUAUUAUGCAUCAAUCAGGUACAAGUAAUUACCUUCCCGCGAACCAGGCCUGCAAUCCCCUGCCGAAUUCUUCUUGCAGAAGUGCAGAGAUUAAUAAAAGCUCCAUUUGUUGUAACUAAGUGCAUUAAACUAAUGGCAGCAGUAGCAUCUGCGAUCGUUUGGGGCCGGCCUUAUAUUACUGCCACUGAUACUUCAAUGAAGACUUGUGAUCCGGGUUUGUUUUGGGCAAAGGCAUCUUUGGGAUCACACUCUCUGUUGCAAGUUGAUUUUGGUAUCCCAGGCUCUAGUCUAUUACUCUCUCCUUCCCUUUAUACUAGUAUAUGACAUAAUCCUUUUUACACGAGAAUUAUAGAACCCAUAAUUCAGCUAAUCCAUCGGUUAGGUAGACUGAAUAAAUAAAACCGGAUUAUCUAACAAGCAAAGACGCAUAAGUAUAACAUCGAUCCAUGAAGCGUUUCGGACACAAAAAUUGGAGAAGAUCUACGAAAAUACUCUCUGGAAGCAAGAUUAAUCUAAUGUCCAUAAAGAGUUUCAGAUGGAAUCUCCACCAAAAUAACUUUGUUCUCAGUGAAGAAUACAUUUUUUUUUUGGAAAGGUGGGUUCAUCGACCUCUCCAUCGAACUGAUGCAACAACCAUUUUAUGAAAAAAAGAAACAAACAAUUCAGUCACGGAUCACACAAUGUGAAUAUAAAAAUCAACUAGAGAAAUCUAGAAUCCUUUAGUGCAUGUGCAAAUAGCUCUUUACCUAACAGAUGGUGGUGUUACCGUGUCGUCUUUUUUAUCUGAGGAUUGAGCUGGGCGGUUUUACGAAUGGAUGUGACUUUGAGAUCAAUAAAUAUUCCAUUAUGUUUUUUAGACAGAACUGAAAAAAAUAACCCGUUUUAUUUGCAUUUUUUCUAUUGAACCGUCAAACCAUUUUUUUACAACAAUUAGCUUUUUGCGGCUAUCCAACCAUUUUCCUAUGGUCAUGCAACGCCUCUUGAUCGGUUGAUCUGGUACUCCCUCUUGAUCAGUUGAGUACAUUUUAUUUGCUUUGAUCAAGAUUCUGAUAAAAAGUUACUCACCCUGAUCCUAAAUUCUUAACUCAAAUUUGCCCAAAUAUAAAUGUAUCUAUUCUUAAAAAACGUCUAGAUACAUAUAAUAUUUCGACAACAAUUUAGAAUCGAAGAGAGUACUUCAUUAACAUGCAUGAGUCAUGUGGGCAAAAUCAUAACUAUAGGCAACUACUUCUAAAUACGAAUACAAUGAUAGUAUCAACUCAAAACAUUUAUUGAUCAAAGAAAAACGAAAUAUAUUUUAUAUUUUGGGAAAGAGGCAGUAGUAGUUAACUUCCAACACACAGGUAGCAGUAGUAGUUAACUUCCAGCAAAAAUAUCAUUAUAUAUAGACAUUUAUUUCUUGGGAUGGGUGCUUUUGGUGUCAACGUCCUUGAUAGUUGGCACGAAACUUGCCAAGGCAAACUUCCACGGAGGUGUCUAGUCACUUUCUUUCCCAUCCUUGGCCAUCAACGACGACAACCACGACGAUGGAUCUAUAUAUACCCCAGCAAGCAGCCGGUGCAUGUUCCACGAUAGCGAAGGCGAUUCACGAAAGAACUAGCGCAAAAGAAUUACUACCGCCAAGACUUGUAUUACCAAUGUCUGUGGAAUUUAUCCCCGCAAAAAAAAAAUUGUCUCUGGACUUUAGAAGGAUCACAAGAGCGGGAGACAUGAGAUUGACGAGCAGAAAAAUACUCACUCCGAUUUUAAAUUGUUGUCGGAAAUAUUACAUGUAUCUAGACGUUUUUUAAGAAUAGAUACAUCUAUAUUUGAACAAAUUUGAGUCAAGAAUUUAGAAUCAGAUUACGUAUUUCCGCAUGUGUGGUUUAUGUGCAUUACAUAUCGUGGGGUUAGAGUUUACAAAAUAAUAAUAUUUUGGGGUUAGCACUUAGCAGCAUGGAGCGAUGGCGAUGGUUUUUCUCUGGUUGUUGCGCCGUGCCGGGUAGGACGUCGCCGGCAGUCCAGCUGUGCUCUGCACCCUGAGGUUGCUCGUGCAUGCGUGGCCCUACACGUUCAAACUAAACGUGAUUUUCAUCCAUUUAAUUAUCGACAUGAAGUUUGCUCGUGAAUUCUACAUGUUCUUCCGGCAGACUAAACAACGCCGCCCGAGUUCCAUGCCUUUCCGCUUUUACGUUACCCAAACUAUUGCUUCCGUAAAUCGACACGAAACAGAGCAGAAGUACAAAUCGGGACAUUGUUGAUAGCCGAACUUCUAAACUCUCAAGAUAAAAAAAGAAAGAUAGUCAAACUUGUACUUUCUCUGUCCAACAAAGGAUGUCUCAAUUUUGAUUACAUUUGAAUGCAUCUAUACACAAAGUCAUGUCUACAUACAUUCAAAUUUUAACAAACUUGAGACAUCUUUUGUUGGACGGAGGAAGUAGUAGAGUUUAACUGGAGCUUUGUCCAAAACACCAUCUUUCCAUAACCCAGAGAGAGUACAUCUAGCAAAGCAGCUGUUACAUAAGCUAAUUAAUGUUAUUUGCACAUGGAACCGAACAUGGCCCCUAUCAUUUAUAUUCCCUACUUUUUCUCCAUAAACAAGAAAUCGCCGUGAAAAAGACGGACUACUCGAACUGCACCAAACACAGCCAUGUCAUUGACCAUGCACGCACCUUGCUUGUAAAUUAAACCUCCCUGUCUCCAGCAGUGCUGCCAGUGAUCAAGAAGCCUCUUUCGUAGUCAUACAUUAAUCAUGUCGAUCCAUGACGUCCACCGAGAAUAGUAACCGAGCGAAAUGGAGCUUCGAUCCAACGGCGGUAGUUGGGAGGAUCGGAAUAUUCAAGCUCCUGUUUCGUUGGUAAGGAGGGGAUGCCAAGGUAAGUCAUCUAUCGCUGUCUAGCUAAGUGUCUACCCCUAAAAUACAAUUGAGAUGUAUUUUUUCAUUAAAAUCUAGCAUCCACCUGACGAGUGGUACCAAAAAUACAACAAUCUUGUCAUCAUGUGUGAACAACCAGCUGGGAUUUCACGAAUCCCUUGUCAUAUGCAGCCCCUCUUUCUAUUGUUGAUGUGACUUUUGGUAUUUAUGUCAAAGUUUGGGGGUCCAAAUUAGUACACUUGAACAUUCCCAAGUUUUUUUUUCCGCCUAAGCAAGGGGACGAAGGGCACGAGCUCUGUCAUUCAAGAUAAGAGUUACUAUCCGGUUAAUUUAGAAACAACAGACGGAAACCAGAUUUACAAACACCCAAAACACCCAAAAGCAAACACACUGGAGCUUAAUGGCUCGGAGAUAGGGUCCAGACUGAUACCAGUACUCCCUCCGUCAGAUAUCAAGUGAUUCAAAUUUGUCUAAAAAUAACGAAUCUAUAUACUAAAAUACGUCUAGAUGCCUGUAAUAUUUCGACACUUAAUAUGGGAGGGACGGAGGAAGGACAUGUUCAUAUAAAAUAUUGGUUCUUGAAUUGUUGCACACGGUGUUUUAUGGCGUUUCUGGCCCUAGAAACCUUUAUACAGACAAUAUUUAUGCAAAUGUUCCCUCUUCUCAUUAACGCCUAUUGCAAUAUCAGUAGGUACAUAGCUAGGCACGGUUUAUUAAUGAUGCUAAAGUACCGUCAUUCCGUCACAUGAUUCUAACCGUAAGUGCCCACGACGUGAAACAUGUCCGGAAGAACUGGAGUAAUCUGCGGCGAGAGGUACAUCAGUACAUGGCACCGACGCCGACAGGGAUCACGUAGGAACGCCGGCUUCCAUUUGCUGCCGGAGUGAUCACUGCCGGGAUGACGGUGGUACAUCAUCCAGACUGCUUAGAUCGAUCACGUUUGUGUCUGCAAGAAAGCCGUGACAUGUACCCAUAUCCGUCUGCGUAGGUCACAUGGUUCGUGGACAUCCUGAAAGGGAACCAAGAAAUUCUGCUUUCUCGCGGCAUCUUGUCCUUUCUUGCUUAGAUCUCUCCCCGCACCGUCUAUUGUCGAUCGUAGCAAUCGAUCGAACAAAACCGUCAGCUUUUGGGAGUAAAGUUUGCCGAUAAUGAUGAACUCAAGGAAAUACUAGACUUUAAAUGAUGGCAUGGCCAUCCGGACCAUUUUUUUUUGAGCAUUUUUUGUUUUGAACGUGCAAAGUGAAAACACAUGCUACAGAUCAGUGUUCAUUCUACAGGUUAGUGUGAAGUUACAUAUUCUACAUACCAAUGAUCAGUUGCCAAGAUGUUUUGCAUCAUUCAGAUUUCUCUUACUAGCACGCUGGAUGCAAUAGAUAAAAAGUAACACAAAACACUGGGUUGUUUCAAGAAAGCACAAAAUGCUGGAGCACUGCUAAUCAGCACCCAACUCUUGCAAGUUGAUGAACAGAUUGUACGAAAUUGCUCCAAAUAUCUGAGAUACCAACACGAAACUUCAAAUGGAUAUUAUACUGGCUUGCAGGAACUCGAUUGCUAAAUAAAGUUGGUACACGGAGGCAAGGUGCCAGUGGUAGAUAAAACACCACAAGUGAAUUGAGCCCAGAAAUUAAAAAGAACAGUCGUCUGAGAUGAGAACUCAUGCAGGAGACCAUGCCUUGACAGCCAUAUCUCGCCUUAUAUUUUGGCUAUACCUCUAACUCCAGUGGUGUUUUGCCUUGCAAAUUAUACAACAUCAAGCAGCGGCAACCUUCCUUCCAUCUUCAAUGAAAUAGAUGGCCGAUUCAGGUACCUAGAAAGUAUAAAGGCAAGGAGAAAGCCAUAAGUAUUGAAAAGUCACCUUUCAUAAGCCAUUAAUAUUAACAAAAUUUGACUGGCAGUAAUCAUAUCAUGAUCGUAAUAUGUGAAACAACUCAAAUAACCUUUUUAUCAGUGUUACGGCGCAAAUGCAUAACAAAUUGUACUCAUGAUUAGUCCAGAAAUAGAACGAAAAAUAGCGACAAUAUUUUUUCCCCAAAGAUAUAAGAAUAUGCCAUUAAAAAAGGGAACCUAUAUAAGGAAUUGAUGAGGACUUUGGGCGACUGCUGUUUGUUGAGAACAGGACUUGAACCAUGGGAGAUAGGCUCCCCAUUGUUGCUACCUUAAAGGCUUAAACUUUCUCAGGCAAAUGUGACAAAUGCAAGAAUGAUCGGGCUAGCCUAACCACUGAGGCGCUGACCGAAUACAAGAUAACCAAAAAAAGCUACCAUGGCUCUAUGUUCCUAUACAUUUCCACUUUCUCAGCAUGGAAGUGCAUUAUUGAACAUUUAUUUUGUUAAAUAGUUAGUGCCAAGAAAAAAUAUUAGAUUAAAUAGAUAGUGGAUGUUCUCCCCAUGUUCUUGUGAAACCAAAUUGAAUUGUCAAGUUGAUAAAGUACCAGAAAGUUAUCAUCCAUGAAAGCAUACAGAAGAUGUAAACCAUAAAAAAAAUGCAGAGAUGAUGGAUAAAUUACAUCAGGCCAUGUAUCUGUAAUGAACUCCACAACAUCAUAUGAUAUGUCCCCUUGCACAUCAAUUUGCUCCUUCUCAGUUGGGCCCUGGAGAACAUAUUACAAGAAAAGAUUGAUGAUUAAACAAAGCUUAAAUGAAUAUCAGAAGUCUUGAUAAUCUCUAGAUACUAGUAUACCUUAACAACAGAAGCUCCAGUAGCAAACUUCUUCCCGAGCUUCUUUGAAGCAUCAGUUAGCUUUACACCUAAAGAGUUCAGCAGACAAAUAUGAUCUAUUAAACAAUGGCCAUCAUUGAUAGCAAAGAUCUACCACCAUGAAACUUUAACACAGGUUCAGCUUAAGCCUGGAUAUAGUAUCUGUAGAACAAACUCUUCUACAGAGUUUAAAAUGAUGUCCAUCCAGCUUACUUCAUUAGCUGGAAACAGUUCGUGCACAGCCAUUUAACUCGUAAACAAGAGGGCUUAUUCAACACCACUCACCAAACAAUUCCAGACCUUUCACCACAGUAACACAUUUGCGCUUGUUGCGGACAAUCUUCUCAAUAAUAACCUCUUGCUUGUCCUACAGAUACACAAGGGGAAUUUAUCCACCAAAAAUGGCAUAUAUAUAUAUAGAUUUAGACUGGCCCCAACUCAAACCCAUAGACAUGAAUACAAUAGCAGUCGAGCAUAAAAUGGUCAUGUCACAUGCCAAAGUAACUAGUACUGGAGUGAAACAUGAGGUUGCAUCAAACACCCAAAUAACAAAUAUUCAGUUUCAAUUCCUCGAUUUCAGAGUAACAUCUAAUGGUGAAGCUACACAGCUAGAAAGUGGAUUGUGGAAAGUGUGCAAGGGAACCAACCUUUUUCUUGAGCUUACCACCAGGCAGGCGUUUCACGUCUUCCUGCUUAGAUGCUGAAGCACCCCCUGCAAACACAGGAACAUCAAUCAACUUUGACCGAUCGUAUGCUAAAUCGAAGACUCACAUCCACUCUCGCUACAUCACUAAGAGUAUAACACAACAAAUUUGUAGAGGGGAAAAAAGAGACGGGCAUGAGUUUACGCCAACCUGCACUGGUGGAGCCAUCGGCGGAGAUACCGACGCCUUGCAGGCGCACGGCGACCUUAUCCACGUCCUUGUCGUCGCCGCCUUCACGCCCCAAACAGAUCAAACGACACGCACCGUCAGAGAGUCGAGCCAACACGGAGCGCAAACAAAGAGGGGGAGGGGGAAAACAAGCAAGGCAGUUAGGUCAGCGCGGCGAACCGGAGGAGGAGGCGAUUAGCUCGUCGGGGUAGACGCCGGGCGCGUGGGCGCGGAGCCAGGGCUUGCAGCGCUCGAAGUCGGGGCCGAACUCGCAGUACUCCGCGGGGAGGCCGCAGACGCCGCAGUAGAGCACCUUCACCGGAGCUGGCUUCUCAGCCGCCAUCGCCGCCGGUUCCUCCGGAUUCGAUUCGACCCGAUCUGGUGCGGAAUGCUCGACGAAGGGGAUGAUGGGGGGCGGCGGGCUGCGCGAAUCUGUGUUGCCCUGCUCGAGUGCUCGUGCUCGCCGUGGAUGCGAUUUUUUCCGUUUCUCUUUCUCCUCUUGGGGACGCGCAAGAGAAAAAGGAAAAGUUGGAGAGUCAGCAGCUCCGUAUUGGGCUGGGCUACGGGCUACUGCAGCCUAGCUUGCUUUUCGUUUCCCAGCAUGGGCUUCGUUGGGCUGGGGUAAGUAUUGUCAUAUUGGGCUAUGCCCGUCCAUAUUACGGCCUGAACUUCACUGUUUUCUUUUCUCUAAGUACUUCCUUCAUUCUCAAAUAAGUGACGUGGAUUUAUAUAUGUUCUUAUACAAGUCGUCACUUAUUUCAGGACGGAGUGAGUAUCAACUUCACUUAUAUGUGCCCGUAAUCACCAGCUGUGAUUACGAUGUAACCAUGUCAUCUAAGCAAUAAAGAGGUUCUUUACUGUCAAAAAAAAUAUUUGCCCGGUAAAAAAAAUCACUUAUUUGCGUACUGUCCAAAACAAACUUCACAAUCACUUAUUUGGGUCGAAAGUGAUGAAGAGUCGGCGUUUUCCACAUGUAACCAUGUUUUUUUGCUAGCCGAUAAACACGAGCAAACAUACAGUCAUACUUUGCAAAUAAACACGAGUACAGCCAUGAGUGCGCAAACCCUGCAGACAGUCAACGUUCUUCGGAGAACAGCAGGGCUCGACCCACAGGUUUCAGUUGCAAAAGCCAAAACGAUACAUUUGGAAAACCCGAAUGAUCGAAAUAUAAUUUACGUAACUGCAACAACAAAUGUACAUGAUGAGAAAUAAAAACCUCCACGUUUCACAGAUCGACAACGUUAAAAAUUUAUGUUGCGAAACCAGGUGCACAGAGAUCUGGAAUUGUUCAAUCUCCGCCCCGCUGAUUUUCUCAAACGCUCGUGCCAGCGAAGAAUAUAGACUGAUCGGCUAAGAUCAAUUUUAUUUUGAGGUUCAUGAAUCUGGCAAAAGUUUGCCACCGAGCCGUGCAGGCAGACCACGGACGGAAGAUCAUUAGGUCAUUAGGGAGAGAAAGAGUCGAUUGCAUUAGGCGCCAGGGCCGGGAAUGGAAACGGUCGAUGCAGGCUCGUGUACUCCGCGGACUAGGACUCAUGCUGGGCCUACAUGUUUUCUGGCCUGUUGAAAGGCGUGCGUUGUUUGCUGACUGAGUGACGGUAUCGUUGCCAUCAGGACAUCUUCAACGAGUCACGGAUACAUAGGUUUCAUGUCAUCAUUUUUUUUCCAUCCUAAUCUCAUCUCUUCUUUAUUAUGUAGAGAUAUUUUAUUUUAUAAUUUUUUCUUUUCUAGCAGGCCCACUGUCAUUCUCUUUUUUAGUCUUGGUACCCGUGUAGUAGUGGUAUCUUGCAGAAGAAACCAUCUCUUUAACUUUUGGUUACACCUCAGUAAAAAAGUAGGAAAGAGAAUUUAAGUACCUACCCUUGUUGGAGAUGUCCUUAGUGUACAUUAUACCACUCGUAGGCCUCUUAUUUUAGGGGAUUCUCGCAGGCCUCUUUCGACGUUUCUACUUGCCGUCAUCUUUUAAGCGUUCAUGGCAUUUUUCUUUCUUUCUUUGUGGCACUAAAUAAUGUUGUUUUUUAUGUUGUCGACUGCCUUUUCACGUAAUCAACACAAAGACAUUAAAAUUAAUUUUGUACAAAUAGACACAUCUGAUUUGUGGGCCAUGCUAAUCAAACUUGAUCCUCACCCAAUUCACCGUCAAGUCGUAAGGAGGUCGUACACAAGGCAUUUAUCACUACUCCCUCCGUCCACAAAUAAGUGUGCUUCUAAGUUUGUCCUAAGUCAAACUUUUCUAGACUUGACCAACAUUGUUGAAAAGAGUUUCAACAUAUAUGACAUCAAAUCGGUAUAUUAUGAAAUUACAUUUCAAAACGGAUCUAAUGACAAUAAUUUGGUAUCAUAAAUGUUGAUGCUUUUUUUCCAAAAAAGUUGGUCAAAGUUUAAUAUCUUUAACUUAGGACAAAACUAGAUGUACACUUAUUUACGGACGGAAAGAGUACUAUACUUCAACGAUGUGUGUUUAAGAUAUUCAACAGGAGAGGAGAGAAUUAGAAGUUUGCUACCUAGUCACACCUUGGAGCGUAUGCAUGAGUUGCAUGUUAACUACUCCCUCCGUCUCAUAUUAAGUGACUCAAAUUUACCUAAAUAUGGAUGUAUUUAUGCAUAAAAAGCGUCUACAUACAUGCAUGCAAUAAAAAGUCACUUAAUAUGGGAGGAGGGAGUAUAACCUUGAUUUAUCUCUACGUUUAACAUUUGCCACAUCAUCAAAAGGCACUGUCCAUCAUCAUUAAGAAACCAUGAUUUUAUAUGUACGGGAGGGAGUGUCAGCCUUUCAACCUGCGAGUACAGAAAGGAACACAAGAAAUCUACACACUCAACAAUCUGAGACUCGAAAACAAGACAGAUCUUCUGGUCGACAUGGCUACAAUCGAGACAUAUCAAGCACACUUAUUCCCGAGCAUACUAAUGAAUCGAUCGGCGACGACUCUCCCGGCCAGCUAGCGACGUGGACGUCCGCCGCUGACGCCGGUGGUAGACUUAGCUAGGUGCCUAGGUAUAUACAUAUGCAACGAUCUGGUCACCAGCAGCAGCAGCAACGAUAUAUCUGAUGCAGCUGCAAGGGUUGUCCAUUGUCGGUGCUCCGUGGUCGACAGGACACCCAAAGGCACACAUCAACGACGUAUAUACGCUUCUAGAAGGAUCGAUCGCCCAGCAGCUGGUAGAUCCGCAGCCAUACGUUGCCAGUCGCCUCCUCCUGUCGCUGUAUACGUACGUAGACGUAGCCUCAGCAGCGACAUUUAAACUGUAGACCGGAAGUCCGUACGCCGGAAUUGGUAAACCGGUACUGCAAACAGUUUGGAACACAAAAUAGGAUGGCAUCCAAUGCGUUUUUACACGCUGAGUCUUCAGUCCUACAGUACACUGUGUGAUUUCGUUAUUUAAAUCGGGAGCUAUGCUCCUCUCUGAAAAAAAAAAGUCCUCAGUCCUGGAGAGUGUAGAAUCGAAUGUAUUUUACAGACCUAUUACGCUUGCAACGCAAGCUGGAGUAUAUAUCAAGGGACGGGAGUCGUCUUAGUCAGCACAAGAACAUGUACGUAGCAAUGCCGGGGCUCUGCAUGCGUGCCAACGCGCAGAGAGGCCGGAACGUGCGUACGAACUUUCUGAAAGAAGACUAGCUUACUGAUACACGCAUAUAACAUUCAUACUAUAUUAUAUGUAGGAUCUGUGGAAUUCCGGCGUGUUUCCGGCGCAGUGCGCCGUUCAAUUCGUUCAGCCAGCGCGGUCCUUAAUUUCUUUGUCUCCUUGUGUUGAAUCGAGGGUAUCAAUAGGCAGGCGAUCGAGCCUGGCCGUCACCCGGAGGCGCCCUUCAUAUCGAGCAGGAGUCCACCCGGCCGGAAGCUAUGCAUGGUUGUUAUUACGAGCUGGCCGUAGCUGUAGAUAGUUUCCGAACCAGCGGAGAACUUUCUGAUAAGGACCCGGCUCGCUCGUUCGUUGCUCCCUCUCUGUCGGAAAUCGGGAAUUAAUGUACAGUCGUACUACUCCUACUCAGCUAGCCAGCAGUCAAAGUACACUCGUCAAACGUAUCAACGGCAAUAAAACGGAGCAUCCAAUAUACUAUAUCAGUGCUGUCGACUGUCCGAUUUUAUCCCCAUUGCCAUUUCUGGGCCGUUCAAACCGACACCCUUAAUCAUUUCCUGUGCGGGCCGUCCGAUUCUACGUCAAUGGAACCACUCGUCGUCCAAUCUUGCUCGCAAAGUGGCGCACGUUUUAGUUGUUUUGGCACAGACAUAGAAGGCUUGCUUGGCAGCUAUGCGUUUUUUUGGGUACGGCCAUAAAUCAGGUUUUUUCAAUACUACGGAGUACUCUCUCGUUUGAACUAAAACCACGACAAGAAUUAUGUGACGGAUGCAGUGGCAGAGCCAGAUGGGUGGCCGGGUGAGGCCCGGCCCACCCUAACAAUUUGGUUUUAUAGUAUAUAUACUUAUUAAUGAUGAUAAAAAGCCCAAAAAAUCCAUAAAAAAGCCCCAAAAGGCCAGUUGCCCUACCCUAAAUCAAUAUUCCAACUCUGCCGCUGGACGGAUGGAGUAGAAGAUAACGGAACAAACUUUACCUAUACCACGCACAGUGUGUCACACACUUGCCUACAAACUAGGGAGGGAAGGGGGGUCAGUCAAAACACCAGAGUGGUUAAAUGAUUACGGAAGGCUCAGAGGUCUGCCAAAACCUCAAACAAAUUGAAAAUGGCCAGCAAACAAGCGUGAACAACCUCCAAAAUUAAAUUAAAGUCACCAUUGUCGCCUUGCUAUUUCUUUUUGACAAUUGGAGCAUAUAAUAGACAAAUUGCAUUGAGGGAUGCACAUGGCCUCAAGGUCCACAAAAUACCCAACCAUUACGAGCGAAGAAAACAACACAAAAAAGGAUUACAAAGUAGCUAUCAAACACGCAAGCUGCGAUGCCAUCCAUGCAGGGUAAACAAUUCUUGAUCCUUUGGCCACAAAAGAGUAGACCAAGUACGAAGCCAUUACUACGCCAACGGGUACAUUUUCUGCCGAUGGAAGGCAUCAAACCUGGAAUUUUUUUUUAAUCUUCCAAGUACGGUGUUUAAUCUCUGGCGGGAUAGGAGUACAACCACUUCAUUAACCACGCCGAAGCCAAGCCAGAGGUUUGUUCUAUGUUUGUGGAUAUAUUUUAGUCCAUGUUAUGCGAUGUGAGCUAACCAGGUUAUUUUAAUAUACAAUUUAAGCACAUUAUGCAACCAAUGUGAACACGAACCCUUCUCACAUGCGACGUACAAGUAUAUUCAACUAAGUGAUAGAGACCCACCGAAAGAUAUAUAAAUGCAAAUUAUGCAUGUAUGCCCUAGUGUCUCGUUAAUUUGGUCUAAUGUUGGAUGCCAUAUAUAUUGCAAUUUUUAAUCCAUAAGUAUGAAGUUUCUUUUUUUUUCCUGGACAAGCCAGAUCGACAUGCAUGGUCGUCAUAUGUUUUGAUCAAAAUUUGCGGCUUUGCAUGCUAUGGUUGCACGCAGUGUCUCCUUGCGCGUUGCUUUAGUUGAGUGGACGCCAAAACUAACCGCACGUGAUUAUUUAAGAGCAAGCUUCAACUUGCACGAGGGCGAGAUGUGUUCCGAACUUCCGAUGGAAGCUGCAUUUCAUUGUACAAUAUUUUGCUCACUCAAAUACUCAAUGCUUUGAAAUUUGCGUUUUCUGGCAUAAACUUUCAGAAACUGAAUCAAUCUCCCCUGCGAUGGAGUUUAAAAUUUUCCCAUGAUAACUCGAUUGCAAAACAAUGUCAACCAACACUCUCAUUAGUACAUAUGGUUAUGUAAAAAUCAUGUUUAAUUAGGUGUUCUGAUGAGAGCGGCAAUUCUACUGGCUCCGUCAUGUACAGUGCAGGUAGAGGCUACCACGUGGCGCUGGGCCGGGCCCACCUCAUUGAUAUGUUUCAUUGGAAUAUCUUCGAUGGUAUAUGAUGUGUGAAUGAUAUUUUUCAUGGGUUAAUUGGAUCUAUGCCACUCUCUAUUACAUUAGUUGGAGAUAUGCCAUUAAAAAAACUUGACUUGGAGAAAUGCCGUUCUAACUUUCUUGUACCUCUAUCAAUGCCAUUUUGUCCAAUCCCAACACGUAUAUUGUCUAAAUACAUAUAGACAUCCCAAUCCCAAGUCAAACAGUUCUAUUCUUCUUAUCUCCACGCGCUCCUCAUAUCACGUCCCCAAUUGUACUGCUGAACGUAUACUAUCUAAAUACGUAUAUACAUAGGCAUAGAAUUUUUUGAACCUUUAUGGUGCCUGGAAGACUCGAACGUACCGUUGAACGUUGUAAAUAGGGGUAUUAUGGUAAAUACUGAUGUACAUGCUGAAAUACACGUAUUUUAUGAAUAGUUAUUGGUCUUAAGUGGAUAGAAUGACAUUGAUAGAGGAAUAACAAAGUUAGAGUGGCAUUUUUCCAAGUCAAGUUUUUGUAAUGGCAUAUCUCCAACCGAUGAAAUAUACAGUGGCGUAGAUCAAAUUAACCCAUUUUUCAUUGGCAUAUGGUAUAUAUGCCAUGUGGCAGUUCGUAGUAGGUUGCAUGGCACCGAUAGGUACCGGAGCCGUUAAUAAUGACUUUCGCGUGUUUUGAGUCCCACAUUUUAUCUGCAAAUGCACGUUUUAGAUCUGAUUUUUUUCUAGAAUACUCACAUGUAGAUAGUUUGCAAGUUUGCACCAAAUACGUUGGCUACUAAAAAUUUGGUUACCAAAAUAAUGGUCAAGAUUUUGGUUCGCGACGAGUUGAAACUUCGGCAAAAUAAAAAACAAUAGAAUUAGCAAAAUAGCAUUGUCAUGCCAAAAAGUUGACAACCAUCCAAACAAACAACUUUUUUUUUGUCGUGACCAAAAGCCUGGCUUAGUGCAUUUGGGAAGCAAUCCAAAUACACCCAACUCUUUCUAACAGAUAGAGGGAUAAAAGCAUUGAACUGCAUACAUUUGACGAGUAAUCUUUUACAUGCGGUAGAAAUCUACAUGCAAAACGAACUUUUUCUAGCGCUUCCCAAAAGUUAAUGGAAUUCUGUCAAAGCUUCCUCCAAAACUUGAAAAUGGGAACACACGUCGAUCCCACUCAUUAACUCUCAUGUUCUUUUUUUUUUCUAAAAGGACGGUCAAAAUCUCUCGGUCUCUACAUUAAUUCUCGGAUGCACAUUACAAAAGAUGGUACGCAAAUACACAGCCCUGCUAAAACACCAAUUUACAAGCUAAGUACAUGGAGUGUUCCAAAACAACGCCUUUAAGGAGAUCGUACACAUCCAUUAACUCUCAUACUCACUGUACGUCGUCUUUGUAAUAGCACGAAACAAAACUCAAGGUCUUAAUCAAAAGAGGUACUCCCUACGUCUAACAAAAGAUGUCUCAAGUUUGUCAAAAUUUAGAUGUAUUUAGACAUGACUUAGUGUAUAAUGGAUUCAAAUUUAGUCAAAGUUGAUGCAUCCUUUGUUGGACGGAGGGAGUAUACAUAUAGAAAAGGAAGCCCGCUUCAAAUUUAAAUUUAUUUUCCCCUAAACUAUAUCCAAUCCUAAAGUUACAGACCCGUCCAAAAGGUAUUCAAAAGUAAAGGUUCCAUGCGAUCUUAAAGCCUGGGUGGACCGAUCCACGACAAGUCGACAACGCCCCAAAGCUGUCAAAUUCGGCCAACCAAAUUAAUGGACCGUGGACUCAACCCCAAAAUCUUCUCCCCGGGUUAAUUUUAAUUUCUCCUGACUGAUCUCUCGCGCCAUCAUCAGCUACAGCUAGGCUAGUGUCCAGCCAGUGGCAGCUAAUAGCAGCAACGGCGUAACGGCACCGUGGCACGUGCCACCGACGACCGAGAUCGAUCGACCCAUCUCCUGAUCUCGACUUCCUCGAUGCCUCCCAUGUCACAAAUCACAAUCACGACGAACGGGCCAGUCGCCAUCUACCGGUUCCAAUGCUCUUGCCGGCUAUGCAUCUAUAUAUACGGGCACUCAAUCUCGCACCCAGCACAAAGAACUCCAAACACACACUGGCUGAUAGGUAUCUGCACGCGCGCGCGUACGUGUGGUAUUCCACUACGAAUCUAUCCCUGAUCUAAAGGUUUCCACUCAGGAUCUAUAUCCUGAUCUAGCUAAAGUUCUAAACUAGCUUAGACUAGCCACACCAGUAUAUGCAUGGUGCCUAUAUAUAUCAACUCUUGAUUAAGACAAGACAAUCGACGCUACGACGCCACGCCAAUAGACGCAGAUUAAUUCAUCGAUCGUCUGGGCGCCAUGGAUAGCAGCAGCUGGAUCAAUGCCUAUGGCAACAGCACCACCGGCAAUAGCGGCUUCAUGUGCGGCUACGCUGCAGGGCUGCAGUGCAGGGAUGGGGAUGAGCAGCAGCAGCAGCACGACCUGCUCGUCACAUCCCAGAUGCAGCACCACCUCAACCAGGCAAGAAUCUUCGAACCCUUUUAUUCGCACGAACGUGCCUGUGAAUCAAUCGAUCUCAUGAUCAAGUUUCUUGCGAAUUCAGGAUUGAUUUUGGUAUAUCUCCAUACGUGCAGAUCAGCAUGGAGAUGAGCAUGGACGACGAGUCAGCUCUGUACAACGCCCCUUCCGGCGACGGUGCCGCCUUGGGCGUGCAGCAUGCCGUCGACUUCUUCCUCCCUUCGCACCACGCCGCCAGCAGCGUUCUCCACACCUCGUCAUCCACCUCCUCCUCGUUCCGAUCUGCCUCGAUCUCCUGCAGCCCGGAGAACUCCUCGGCGCAGGUGCUCACGGCUCCAACGACCGGAUGCCUGCAGUUCCCGGAGGUCUCAUCAAACGUGCCAUUAAUGGUGCUCCCUUACGACGACCACCAGCACCACUACGUCAAUUUCGACUUCCACGACGAUACUGUGGCGGCAAUCGCGGCGCCCGGUGGGAAUGCGAUGUCGACGACGCCGAGCGCGUUCAAGCGCUACGCGCGGCACCUCGGCCCCAGGCAUAGGAGGCCGAAGCCGGCGUGCGGGCAGAGGAUGUUCAAGACGGCCAUUUCGGUCCUGACCAAGAUGCACACGGGCAUGAGGCAUCAGUCCUACUACUACCAGCAGGCAGCGGCGGCCGAGCCGCUGCAGCCGUCAGGGAACCAGCUGCAGCACAUGAUCUCCGAGCGCAAGCGCCGGGAGAAGCUCAACGACAGCUUCCACGCUCUCAAGACCGUCCUCCCUCCUGGCUCAAAGGUAUAGGUCAUCACAUCAUGCAUUUAUACGCAUAUGCAUAAUUCUUCAAAUCAAAUUUGUACCAAGUUCUUUGAGUAAUGAUGCUUAAUUUGCGUGCCUCUUCUGGCAGAAAGACAAGACAUCGAUACUAAUCACGGCGAGGGAGUACGUGAACUCUCUCAAGUCCAAGGUCUGCGAGCUCGAGGAGAAGAACCAGGUGCUCCAGGCGCAGCUAGCCCAGCGGGCCAACAGCGACAACACCGGAGAAGACGCAGAGACCAAGGCCGGCGAGAAGGUCGAGAUCGAGAUAACGAGAGACGACUCUACGGCGGAUCAGGAAGACCAGGUUUGCACGGUGAAGAUCGCAGUGAUCAGGUCGGAGUGCAGCGGCAACAUGACGAACGUGGUGCUCGGGACUCUGCAGCGCCUGAAAGACGAGGUGGGUGAAGAUGUCACCCUGGUGGCGAUGAGCAGCAGCGACGUCGACGGCGGAGGCGAGGCUCCCCGAGCAAGCCUGACGAUGCAGCUCAAGGUAAUAACAGUACCCAUAAUAUUACGAGUCACGGUAUCAUUAGCUAGGUUUUGAUCGCAUGCUAACCUAGAUAGCAGCACAGUACUGUCAUAAGCUUAGCAGGUGAAGCACAGUACUGCCAUAAGCUUAGCAUGUGUGAACACACAUACGCACGUGUCGCAAUCGAAGAGCCUAAGCAUGACGUGCGUGCACGUAUAAAUGAGAUCUACUCCGUAGUAAGCUAGGCUAGAUCGAAUUGUGUGUACCAGGUUACAUGAGAAUUGUCAAACGAAUCUUUUCGAUUGACCAAACAGAACGCACACACUGAUGAUUGAUCACAUUAAUUCGUAGCACCAUCAAUUAAGUUCGUCGACUAGCGAGACUUCCUACGAUCAAAGUCAAACCCAUGAUGUCACACCCAGAUGACAAAUUCCCCGGACGUACCAGCCGGACACAGUUGGUCACAGCGAUAUAUCAGGCCACGUACAGUAGACGAGAGAUGAGCCAAUAACGUACGGAUGGAUGGGGAAUGCGAGGACUUGCAGAGAUAAGUGACGACGAUUAUAUGAUUGCGACGACUGUUAUGCAUGCUCUUGAUUCCGUUAUUAUUUUGUGCUACUCCGUAGAGUACUAUACAUCGCUGACGACGUUUAUUCUUGUGUGAUAUUCUCAGUCAGCGUCGGGCGCCAAGUGGGGGGAGGCGGCGGUGAGGGAAGCCGUGGCGAAGGCCGUCGCCGAUGCGCUGCCGGUCAGCCGGUCGCAGUCAACAGAGACGAUGACCGCCCCGCGCCGUGGCGAGACCGGCCGGUCUCGGGUUUCGGCAUUAGCCAAGUGAUUAUGCUGCAUACUACUCCUGUACGCUGCUUCGCCGAGGCUUCAUGCAUGCCAAUGAAAGCCCGUGAUCAGCUCGAUCGUUUGAGUCGUGGUCCACGCCUCAGGAGACCGCCGCUAGCUUAGCUUAGCUAUAGGCACAAGCCCACCCACCCACUGACGGCGCAGUUUGGUGUGGUGAGAAGAACAAAAGGUGGAGUACUCCAGUAGAAUGGUAGAACGAGAUGUAGGAAAAGGGAUACUGUGGACUCAUGCGCGAUCAUGUAUAUAUACACAUCUUUUUGUGGAUCCUCGAAACUGUGUGGACCGAGUGCCGGACACGUAAGGGCGGUCAAUUUUGUUGACACAAAUUUUGGAAGUCUAGGCACGAAGUCCUGAAACCGUACAUGUGAUGUGAUCAGUAUGACACCAUGUCGCCCUUCGAGGGGGGACAAUUCAUACGAGUUUUACCCUGCGUCCUACCCGACCGGUGAGAGACUGACAAGACGAAUGAUCGGCGUACAAUGUGGUAAAAGAUCUCGUCAUGUUGAACACGCGAUCCAAGCAAGGAAAGAUGCACAGCGAUUAGUAGCCAUACUUAUGUAACGUACGUACGACCGGUUUCAUUUGGUUAGGGAGGACUUACUGUACGUCCAUGUAAUUUUACCAACAGUGUACAUUAUUUUGAUUUGGCAAAUGGCGCGCUGUACUUUACUUGUACUCCUACGUAUUUCCUAAUAGUGCAGAGUGGUUAAAUGAAUGAGAUGUAUAUAUACUCCUAUCUUGUGCGUGUACGAUAUCGAUGUUUAAAAGAAUAUAACUGUCAAUGAAGAAUACCUUCUCUGAAAUCAAUCAGUCAAAGCCACAUCUAAUUCGUGUUGCUCGACGAUCUGACUCCAUAAGGCUGCAAUUAUACUCUGGGUGCAAAAAGAAAACUGAAAUUAGUUCCCCACACACACAAAAAAAAUGAAAUUCGUUGGCAAGGAAAAAUUAGUAAUCUUACAUGUUUGGUUUCAGGGAUCACAUUCAUCAUCGUGGUUGCUCCAUCACAACGACACCUUAAAUUUGGUUGGAAGGACAACGUACGUGGUGAUGGGCCAGUAGUCCGCUCUUUUCCUCGACAUAGAUAUAUAUGAUCGUAUAUAUGUUGCUGCCUGAUUGGCUAUGAGCCACCUGAUUCUCAAAUCAAUUAAACAGUCCACUUCUCUUUUUACAACAAAAAAACUAGGAAAAGUGAGAAUAAUUCAAAAGAGGACAAAUUGCUCGAGGGACCCUUGGAUUACAGGAUUUCUUCGAAGGAAUUAAUGUCUACACAUUUUGGAUAUGAAAUUCCUUUUGGUAAUUGAAUUGAAACGAAAUGGCUUUGAUUUCUCUAGAAUCCAAUAAGUAAUGUCACUCUAAUCAUGUUUACAUGCCAAGUCAAACUAUAUAAAUAUUUGAGGUGACAUGGUGUUCCUGCUCAUGUUGGAGGAUUAAGAAAGCAUUUGAUAUGAGUUUUACAGUGUAUUUCUACAGUUGAAACUACCCUAUGUAGGAAACAAAAAUAGGAUAAAACUUCUGCAAAAUUUCUAUCAGUAUCUUGCAACCCAAUGUUGCCUUUAAACUCAAAAACAGUAACUUAAUAUAAUAUUAUUAGGCAAUGUGGGGAGCACGCCAAUAUGAGAGCGUGGUAUCGUAUGUACAACGGUUACACCUAAACGUCCAAGGGCAAUAUAUAUCCACCUGAUAAGAUCUAGGAUUGGGAUUCCAUUUAUUCUAAGAUACACUCGUCAAAAUAAUUUAGAUGAUGUGAACCAGCAUGGUGCUUUCCCUCAGAGGGCAGCCCCAUAUUGUUUAUGAUACACUAUAAUGGAGUAGAAGAGUACAAGAGAAGACACAUACUAAUGUAGAAUAUCACGAGAGAAUUUCUAGUGCUAUAAGCCAACCUCCCAUUUGAGACACAUACAAUAUAUUUUGUGUACUAUCUACUAUAUAUAAUACCCUACACAUUCAGGCACCAACCACAACACAAUCAGGCACCACCUUUGCUACCUUUAACACCCACAAUUCAUUUUCUUAAAAAAAAACUGUGCAAAGGAUCAUAAAAAGUUAAGAAGAAUGCUGAAAAAGCUCAGGAGUGCGUGCAUCUGGCGUUGCGUCAGCAAAACAGACAAUUGAGCAAAAUCAUAUAUUUUAGUGUGUGGUUGGCAAGAGUAGUACACAUGUAAUAUAUUAUGCAUGUCCCUGAUUUGAGUUAUGUACCAAUCAUUGAUUCCAAACUAAAAGAUUAUAAAAUUCAAAGGGUGGAUAGAUAUCAUAUAGGAAGAAAUUUUUAAUCGAAUGAUGUCAGCAACCAGGGCCUGCUGCCCACCAGAUGCACGUAGUUUUCGCUUCUAUGUACUACAAAACAAGAGAUACUUUGGUGUAUGACUAAAUCUCUCUUCAGCAAUACUUUUUAAUGGAUAAGAUAAGAGGUAUUUUUCCACAUUCACAUAAAUAAUUUUAAGCAAAGUCUUACCGUCCAUGUCAAGGUUUUAAUGGAGCACGUCAUUAGACCAUUGUUUCAAAUUCCAAUAAUUUAAUUGCAUUGCUUCUAGAACAAUGUAAUUUCAGCAUCUUCUGCCUUAUGCAAGGUAGUAAGCAAUCAUGUAGCGAUUCAGUGAUUUUUCCAUGCAAAACAUCAUCCAUUACGGCAUGAGAUAAUUUUUUUAUCGAGAUAGCAGGGUCUAACACCGAUUUUUUCACAAGAUUCAUUGAUGCUGUGAAAAGUAAAAAGUUUUCUGUAAAUAUAACACUACAACUGCAAGUUGGUACUAUAUUUUUCAGGAAAAAAAGGAAAGUCUUAGAGCACAGUAUUUCUUGCCUUCCUAGUUAAGAUAUGCAUCAUGAGAGCACGUGAUAAGACCUCUAUCUUAACGUCUAUACACAGCAACAUAUACAGUGUUGACUUUCUUAGUAACGUAGUUCUCUCAACUCCCAGUGACAAAAAAUUAAAAGUAGAACUGAAUAAGAACUUACCUGUGAACCAUCUCGGUUCAGAGAAUUUUGGCAGGGCCGGUGAAUUAAUUACCAAUUAAUCAGUUAAAGAAAAAUCAAACCCUAAUCCCCUCCCUGCACUGAGAGUGUCUGCCACUCCGCAGCCUGCAAGAACUGACCACAAGUCAGCAAGAGCAACAACGUUGACAAGGACAGGGGAACAAUCAAAGCAAGUGCAUGCAUACCUGGGAAAUCUUGCAUUAAUUCUCUGGUUUGUGGAAACUACUGUUCUCCCUGCACGCAAAGGGGAUGGGCAAUUUGGGCAGGCUUGACCAUGACUUCUCUUACGAAUUAAUGUUGACCUGUUAGCUAUCCACAUCGAAUGGAAGUGGAAGCUGAUCUCCUUUCUUGAAAGUAACAGUGCAUAAAUGCCUGUUUACUUACGCGGGUAGUAGACGCAAUAUAACAAGUUAACUGCAAUCCAAAGAAUGAGUGUAAAUGUCAACACGCGUCCCUAGCUUAACUACUUGGAUGGCAGCUACUACGAAGAUCUCUCGUAUCCAAACUCCACGCAACUGAAGUCCCACAAAAGAUAGGCAGGGUGUUGCUUACCGAGAAUAGUAAGCAAGCCAUGGUCCUCACGUUUUACUCUUGCAAAGAUUAUUAUUUACUAGUACCUCUUCUCUGGCUUAUGAUCAUUUCUUUCACAGCUCUUUUCAGUCAACAUAAGACUAGACUAGGUUACAUACAUCCAUAGGAAGACAAUUCAACGUGACUUGACAAUUCUUUGGUUGUGGAAGUUCUUUUUACACUAGCUUAGUAAAGUAAUAGUAUUAAGCCAGUGGAGUGAUCAUUUUCUACACCGUGCCUUUUCAAUUAUGAUAAAAGUACACAGAUCAGUUUAGUGGAAAUGAAAUUGGGCUAGAGCGGGGAAGCCCUCUAUUGGGACAAAUCAUUAGCAAGCUCCUGACUUGUCAAAGUUAAGGAGGAAAUGAGACAAGGAAGUCGUAUCCUGACCAUCAUAAUACCAUAUAUAUACUGCAGUUUUCCAUAGCCUAGUUGCCAUCAGAUUGAAUAGACGAGGAAAAGUAAGCAGUAACCGAAAACCAUGGAAAGAAACAAUCCUAGCAGGACAAUAAAGCUUUAAAAGUGAAAGAAAACUACUCCUACAUGCCUUCCCCUCUCCCAUCCUGAAGAAAGAAGGAAACGGGCAAGCUAGCUUUUGGAAUUCAGUUAAUCAGUCGUGCACUAGUCAAUUAUAACACAUCUAAUACAAGCAAAAGAAUAAACCGAAUAGGUGAGGAGCUUGCUAAAUCACCAGGUUAGCCCAGAAAGCAUAUUCCAGUCAUGAUAGGCCCAUAUCAGCAAAACAUGUUUCACUACUAUGUUUCUCAAUCUUCUAUUUUUCGGUGACUAGCUAACUACCCAUGCUUGGCUGCACACAGGAAUUAUACUAUCUUGAGUAGUCAACCCAUGCUGUCAGGCCCAGCCUGAUCCGUCCUUGGCUACGUGCUCCAAUUAGUUCCUCCAAAGCAUGAAGUCCCGCCUAUGUGUCUUUCUCGUUCUGCGUCUAUGCACCAAGCCCAUGGUUCCGCAAACUGAGCUUGUUUUGUCAUGCUAAAUUUUCUUAGGGCUCUUUAUUGUAUACGUAUAACUUAGCUUGCCUUUUUUUUGUUACAGAUUUUUUUUAUAAAUGAAAGUGAAGGUGGGGCUUGUGACAUUACCACAAUCAUCAUCAACAACUCUCAUUAUAUAAUUAAAAUAGUAUUAAAGAUAAAAUAUUGAUAGGCAUGUGGCACUUAGACAAAAACGUAAAAGGAAUAAAUUCAGUAAAUGGCUUCCAACAUUGGUUGCAAAACAGCAACUAGUUCCUAACAAGUCAUCCAAAUGACUUCUUGCUGAUUACACAACUCAGGUGUAACUUACUCCAGUUCCAAUACAAGAUCUGGAUAUUUUCUUCUUGUCACUAUCACCAAGGAUCAUAUUAAUUGAGUAUCACAAGUAACAUGUGUAGAUAAUGAUUUACUAAAGAAGAAAAAUGCCUGCUUACGCUGCUUGCGACCUUAAGCAACCACCAUCCUUUGUCAAUAAGUCCCCAAUGUCAUGGCUCUGAAUCAGGACAGAAAUUUGAGCACUAUUGUACUAUAUUCAAUUUAAUUAUUAGCAUGUCAUAUGGGCUUGUUGUCAGCGAAUAUUACUUUCAGCAGAAAUAUCACAAUUGAACUACUAUCAAAGGAGUGUUUGUCAGAAACGAUAAGAGUACACAAAAUGAUAUAAAUCUAGUCAAAGCAGUAAAAUGACAUUCAAAAGUCUAGUUAACAAUAAGGGUAAUGAAGUCAUGCAAAAGGGUGAGACAGAUAAUUGAACAUCAUUAAAUUAUAUCAGCAUGUAAAAUUGCUUAACCAAGAUAUGGCAGAAACAUCCACCAUGAUUCACAACAACCUACAUGAAAAUGUAGCAGGCCACGUUGACCAAACAAAUUUAAGUACUACCUUAAUGUUAAUUUUGGCUCUAAAACUGACUAGGGCCUUGUUAGGAGCCCUAAAAGUCUGACCACAAGGACAUGUGCACAAAAAGAAAAUCAAGAUCCUCUGCGGCAGGAGAUUAUCUCCAGCUGGCACAUAGAAAAGGCACUGUUUGUUCAUGUGGCAUUGGUUUAAAUUGGUGAAAUCAAUAUCCAUAUGGAGUGAUUUAUGCAAGCGUUACACCUCAACUACCAAUGGGACAUACUACUUGCAAAUAAAGGACCAAAAUUAGUGUCAUGUGUCAGAAUACUACUGACUUUAGCUCAUCAUAAUAUAGAUGGGCAACUAUCACUACACUUAUAAAAGACCCAAUUGGUGGCGGCGGUCCGUCACACCUUUAGGCUCACCACUUCUUGUUGAUUCGGCACAAAUGAGAACAAAUAUGGACUAGAAGAUCUAAGAUAAUAAUACAGCAUUCUCUUUAAUUAUGUAGUGCACAUAUUUUUAGUCCGUAGCAACGCACAGGCACUGUGUCAGUCGUCCAUAAAAUCCGCAAUCGGUUAUGUGCGCACCCCAUGUGGACAAAGUUUCAAACAGCACAUCAUCAGAGGGAUUCCCAUUCUCGCUAUCUCUCAAUAAGAAAAUAUUUGGACACACCAUUCCGAUCGCCAGAGUUACGAGAGAGCGUGAUGAUUAAUUUCCCUCGAGAUACUGGACAAUCGGGUGAACUGACAGAGUGUACACAAGCAUCAAUCUAGCAUUCUGAAUGCCAUAGCACGCAUCACAAAAAUCACCGACGGAUUAGAAUCUAAAAAGCGCGGCCGCUGCCCACACCCCCCUAAAAAGAGCAUGCAAGGAGCGGUGUAACCCAUAGCCGUGCAAACAGAACCCUAGCGUGUUCGCGAAUGUACCUUGAGCGGAGCCAGCCGGGCGGCGAGUUCACCAGUGCGGGGGGCGCGAGAGAGACCUCUGCGUUGGAUAAAAGGAGGAGGGGAUCGCCGCGCAGCCGAAUGCGGCCGCGAUCGAUUCCGGGAGACUCCGGCACGCGCGGUGCGCCAUGGCUCCCGCAGCCGCCACCGUUGCCGUCGGGGUUUUCAGGGAGCAUCCGAGACGUGGGCGCGGGGAGGCGCGCGUGUGGCUCUGUGGGAGUUGUGGGCGACAGGGCGACGCACUCACGGACUGGACGACAUCAUGUCCUGCACAUCCCGGCCCAAACUAAAAUGGACUAGCCUUCCCAGCCCAGUCUACAACGCUGUUGGGCUGGGUCUUCCGCCUCGCCCCCAUAAAAAAAAAAACCGCCUCGUUUUCUGUAACCGUUCUCUCUUUCGAUGAUAGAGUACCGGACUACCGGAGCACGCAUGUUUACCCAUAAAAUGUUCAAGAGUGUACAUAAAAUGCUGAAGAGUGUACAGAACAUGGGAUUGCCAAUACAAGAAAAGGUUAAUUUUUUUUUCCAAGAAACAACAUCAUGCCUCAUAAACAAGAUUACAAAGGACUGUUCUCUAUUUCAACGACAUACGAGUGCCGGAGCACGCAUGCUUACCCACAAAAUGUCGAAGCAUGUACAGAAUAUGGGAUUGUCUAUCCAAGAAACAAGAUCAUGCCUCAUAAACAAGAUUACAGAGAGAUAGUAGGACUUGUAUAUUGUAAAACGAAGGAACACAAAUCGACAUUCCGAUUUGCCAUGUUUUAACUGAGCGGCUAGCACGAAACAGAGUCCCUUAGAAACAAAAUGGCGUGUGUAAGAUGAACGGAAUGAUUACCAGUCACCCACAUUUUCCCAGCCGCCUUAAGUGUAAAAGGGAACAAGCUUUGAACUGUUCGCGACAAUCAGAGUUUACAACCUUCCAUCACCACUGGGUCAAAACCUUCAGAUGAAUCAGCUGUCUUGCAGAAUAUGAACCACCAGCUACAAGUUCUUCGUUGCGAUUGGGCCAGAACCAGCCCUACCAAUGCUCAACUUACACUCCAGGAAUACUUGGAAAAGAAGACAGGACAAACAAAAUCGCCACACGAACCACACUCAUGUCCUGCAAAAGCGAAAGAUAGGUAUUUUCAAUCAGUCUUCACAUGGAUUGUACACACAAAUUAGCAAAUUAAGCAGAACUGGAGGCCAUUAUGUGAUCCAACAAAUUUAUUCAAUUUUUUUCAGCACAACAUUUCCACGCAAGAUGAGAAUAGUGAUUAUAUUCAUGAACUUUUAGCAUCGAUAGACAAGAUUUACAACUGCCAAACAUACAAUAGUUCAGGUGUGGAUCUUGUCAAUUUGUUGCAACAGACUACUGUCAACCUCAAGUUUGAUAGAAGAUCAGAAAUGAAGAAACAGGAUCGUUGUUAUGACUAUGCAUAACUAGCACAAUAGCUGUGUGUUUCUACGGGCUAAAAAAUAAUGUUCUACUGUUAAUAAUUGAUCUACCUAGAACAUAUGAUCCAUAUUCGUUUUCGUCUCAAUGAUUUGCCCCAAAUCAGUAAGUGAUGAAAAAAAGUGACGCAUCCCAGAGGUGAUGGACCGCCACCACCAAUUGUUUUCUUUCAUAGGAGUAAGAUAAGAUGAAAUGGUAGUGAUCAGACCGCUAGACAGCCGAUAGAUGUCAAAGGAAGGCAUUACUCUCUAUCUAAUGUAAAUCACAUUAUCAGUUGCCAAUUUGAGAAACAAGUGUAAGAAUUUAGUAACACCAACUUCAAUUAAGCAAAAAGUGAAAAACUGUAAGUACAAAGACUGGUUCCUCCAAACAAAGGUAGGGAAUGUCCAGAAAUAUUUAGCAACUGGAAACUACAAAGGCUUCUUAAAGUGUGAUGAUUUCGCUCUAAAAUUGUGACUCGUUCCGCAAAUUUAAAAAGUCAGUACUCUGUCCGCGACAAACAGCUAAGCUAAUUCAAUUCAAUUGUUAGUUAGCUGUACCUCUCCAGUGUCAAGUGAGGUGGGGAAGGAAUUGAUUCCCACAACUUCCAAAACUGACUCUUAUUUGGGCCAGGGCUGUCUCUCAGACUAUGUCCGAACUUGUUGCAUAACAUCCAUCUCCUUUUGGCUGGCACUCACAAUAAUUCUGCCCUCCAUGUAAGAACAAGCACAUAGAUACCCAAUUGGCAACUAUUAACAGGAAUGGGAAAUACACUAGGGUCACAGGCUGUAAAGAGAUGGUAUGAUUGCUAUAACUCUUUUGAUUGCAUGUUGUUUUAUAGUGCUUUGGACAACCUGAUAAUAACAACUGCUAGAGGUACCACAAAAUCUGCAUGAUGUCAAUUAAACUUCAUCUACUUAACCUAUAUGCAAUUAUGAAAACAUCUGCAGACGCAUCUAGAUGAUGUCUUUUUACCAACCACAGUUAGAGGUUUCUUUUCUUCUUUGUUACAAGUUAGCAACGAAUCAGGUGCAGUGCAGUUUAAGACGAGUCAUCUGAAAAUGCAAGAUGUCUCAAUCUCACUUUAGAAAGGUGCUAUCUCAAUUAUCCGUGGAGCAAAAGGGAUCUGUUUGAUCAUGCAACUCUAAACUAACUAACUAAACAAGUAGCAUGAUUGUGACAAUCUGAGAUGCAAUUGCACAAUUAGCUGCUCUGAGAUAUCAACCAUAUAGGUAAAUUCGAGAAAUGGACGAGAAGCUUCAUGGAUAAAAAAUCACCCAUCACAAAGUAGUGCCAUAAAACUUGCAUUGAUGUUCAAGAUUCGAGUAACAGACUAACAGUAGCAUAACAAAAACAGAUUAUACAGCAUCCAGCAGUAAGAAGAACAUCAAUUUUUACACGGUGCUGAACAAUAAUAUGAUUGGACCACGAACCAUGGGUUGGAGCGCAAGCGAUCUCACACUAGUGCGACGGCGGCGGCGGCACAGGCGCGUACCAGCGGCCGACCUCCUCGUCGACGUUGUCCUCCGCCUUGUGCAGAGCGGCGUGCAACACGACGAGCACGAAGCCGAUGAGAAGCGACGAGAGGAUGUUGGCGGUGGCGCCGGUGAGCAGCAGCAGGCCGAGCGUGACGACGGCGAGCCCGGCGAGGACGACGCCGUCGCCGACGACGCGGCCGAAGAGCACAAUCGGCUCGUCGCGGAGGAAGUAGAGGACGAGCCAGGCGAUCAUGCAGACGAGGAAGACGAUGAGGGAGACGGGCUUCCAGAGGAGGGAGAGGAAGACGACGACGAGGAUGACGAUGGCGUAGUUCAUGGCGAAGUGGGCGAGGUUGGCGCGCACGCGGAGGUAGGCGUCGCCGAGGCUGGGGGGCAGCCCGAC